rnacentral:lncRNA from 1 species
AAGAAAGAAAUGCAUUGGUUUAAUUGCAUCAGAGCCUCAUGUUUUUAUUGAUUGUAGGAAAAUGGCUUGCGAGUGAGGAGUGACUACAGCUUGAUAAGUGGCAAAGCAUUAUUUCGCUGAAAGCCCUUAGAGGCAAAGAUGCUUCAUCUAGGCCUGGACCAAAGAAACGUGACACGGCGCUUGUUCUGAGGCCAUUCCACAACUCUCCUGCCAACAUUUAAAACACUUCCUGUUAGACAAGCGGAUGGCAGGAAGUUGCACAUGCAGAGGCGCUUCAGUCGUAAGUAAUAAACACCAGCUUUCAUCAUGAAGCUUUUUUUUAUUUUUUUUGCUGCUCUUCUCUCUGUG